AUUCCAUGACAAGGACAUUCCCGAAUGUACUCCUGGAGACGUUCCCAUGCUUCGGGAAUGGUCUCUUCUGCCUUUUGACGGAAGCUGGAAAUUCUUGCCCAUAGAGC
rfam:Sorghum bicolor cultivar BTx623 chromosome 8, whole genome shotgun sequence.